UAGGGUGCCAGGCCAUAAUUUAUGAAGCCGAGCUCCAGCCUCAGCCAAUCACCUAGCUGCCCAUAACUAGUCUAACUGGCUCAGAGGAGCUAGCUGUGCUGCAAUAAAGCCACAUGGAGGAGAUAUCCCACCUGAUAAUCUGUUUAUCUGGGCUGCCUUUCUGUGGGAAGGCCAAAGAGAAAUCCUAACUCCAUUGUCUGCAGGGAGGGAGGACAGAUGACCUGCGUCAAUAACACUGGAGCAC
rfam:Monodelphis domestica cont3.035515, whole genome shotgun sequence.